AACACCAGAUUUGACUUUGGGAGGAACCAUUGCAGACCAUAGCCGAUCCCAAAACCGACUAACCUCGCUGACCACUGAGGAGGAAGACGCACCUUUGUUGGAAGGUUUAGAAUCGACCUGGGCAAGGUGGUAGGCUAUGAUGCAUGGACACGGGAGAAGACCAACGUAUCCCGUAUCUGACACGCAGGGAUACGGAUACGCAGGACGAUACGUGCGGAUACGCGACUGAUACGUAUCCGAGUCAACAGAUACGUUGUUGACUGAUGGGAUACGCGUACCUUACUGUUGGGAUACGAGUAUCCUGCUUUUCGGAUACGUUUUAAACUAUAAUCAGAGGAUAAUCACACAAAAAAAUCAAGAUAAUUAAACUUAAUCCGCACAGAAUCCUGAUAAUUGACAGUUGAUUGAGAUUAGCUGAACCGAAACGAUUAUGUGACCAAAAAUUGAAACGAUUUUGUGUAUAAAAUACAGAUCUACCUAUUUUUCCUCAAACAUCAAUCAGAACCGUCUUCGGCAACUGCUCCUGUCGUCUCCAUUUGCUACUGCUGCAUCGCAUCUUAUGCAUCUGCUAGUAACUGGGUUUCGGAUUCCAUGCUUUCUUGAAGCUUUCUUGUUCUUUUUGUUAGAGUCCUCUGCUUUACUGAUUACAGUCCCCUUUUGCUUUUCUCAAUCCAAACGAAAAGCUUCUUUUGCUUUUCUGUUUUUGCAUAUUAUAAUAAUUUUAUUGUUAGUAGUCUAGAAUAUUUUAGAUUAUAAUAUAUUUAUAUAUGUUUUUAUGUUGCUUUGUUGAUCUCAUAAAUUUGAAUUGUAACUUUUUAUGCGACUACUUUAAAUUGAUUCUUACAAUUUAUAUGUUGAUAAUUUAGGAAAAUAAAUCAUUCUGAUAAUAAUGCGAAUGUUAAUGUUAAUCUAGUUGAGAAUGUUGAAAAUGAUCAUGGUACACUGUAGAAGUAUGUCAAAAAACCUGAAAGAGUGGAAAAUGAAAGAGGAGAUAUUGUGUUUCAAUGCAACUAUUGUCAAAAGAUUUUCAGAUGAUCCUACUCUAGGGUCAAGUUUCAUUUGUUAAAAAUGUUUGGAAAUGGGAUCAUCUCUUGCCAUAAGGUUACUGAUGAAGUUUUUGCAGAAAUGAAAAAGCUAGUUCGAGAAUGAGGGACUCUUUCCUUUUAUUUUUUAGGUCGUUUGGAUGUUCUUUUUAGUUUUUCAAGUUUGAAGACUAAUUUAGUUGUUUAGUGGAUUAUCUUUUUAAAUGUUUGAAGUUUAUCGAAAUAAAUUUGAACUUGAAUAGUAUAUUUGAAUGCUUAUUUUAUAAUAUUUAGAUAUAUUUAUUUAUUUAUAUUAUUUUUAAUUGCCGUAUCCUUACCGUAUCGUGUCUUCAUUUUUAGAAAUUUGACGUAUCCCCGUGUCGUGUCGUAUCGUAUCCCCGUGUCCGUGUCCGUGUCCGUGCAUCAUAGGUGGUAGGCACUACGCACAGAGAACAUACCCCUUCUUUUCAUAGAACCAGGUCAGAGUAUCAGGUGGGGAUCGAACGCUCAACAGUUGAUAAAAUAGCAUCCACUUCCUGUAAUAACCCGUUCCGAAAUUUACGGAACGGAAGGGUAUUUUCGUAAUUUUAUUUUGAGUUGAAAGAUAUUUUGAAUUGGGUUACUCUUAAUGUGUGUGCCCGGUGGGCCCCAUUUCUUUUGGUGUUGUCUCCCCUCCUCGGCCCGCUCUCCUCUCUUUCCCUCUUCUCCCCGUGACCU
rnacentral:lncRNA from 1 species